UACGUAGGGGGCUAGCGUUGUCCGGAAUUAUUGGGCGUAAAGAGCGCGUAGGCGGGUUCGCAAGUCAGGGGUGAAAUCUUUCAGCUUAACUGGAAAACAGCCCCUGAUACUGCGAGUCUCGAGGGAGGUAGGGGCAUGUGGAACUUCCGGUGGAGCGGUGAAAUGCGUAGAUAUCGGAAGGAACGCCGGUGGCGAAAGCGACGUGCUGGACCUCUUCUGACGCUGAGGCGCGAAAGCUAGGGGAGCAAACGGG
rnacentral:rRNA from 1 species